rnacentral:rRNA from 1 species
GACGAACGCUGGCGGCGUGGAUUAGGCAUGCAAGUCGAACGGUAUCAUCCUUUCGGGGGUGAGAGAGUGGCGAACUGGUGAGUAACACGUAGGUUAUCUACCCUCAAGACGGGGACAACCCAGGGAAACUUGGGCUAAUACCGGAUGUGAGCAACUUUUAGUUGUUUGAAAGGUGGCGUAAGCUGUCGCUUGGGGAUGAGCCUGCGUCCUAUUAGUUAGUUGGUGAGGUAACGGCUCACCUAGGCAAUGAUAGGUAGGCGGCCUUAACGGGUGGUCGCCCACACUGGGAUUGAGAUACGGCCCAGACUCCUACGGGAGGCAGCAGUCGAGAAUAGUCUACAAUGGUCGGAAGACUGAUAGUGCGACGCCGCGUGAACGAUGAAUCCCUCCGGGUGUAAAGUUCUUUUAUAUGUGAGCAGUGCUUCUUAUAUUAACAGUAUGGGGAGAGAGAUAUUAGCAUAUGAAUAAGCAACGGCUAACUCCGUGCCAGCAGCCGCGGUAAACUCGU